rnacentral:rRNA from 1 species
ACCAGAAGUCACUGUAGCUAACCGCAAGGGGGCAGGUGCCGAAGGAGGGGUUGGUGAUUGGGGUGAAGUCGUAACAAGGUAGCCGUAGGUGAACCUGCAGAAGGAUCA